AGGUUACUGCUAUCGGUGUUCGAUUAAGCCAUGCGAGUUAAAUGUUCUUCGUGAACAUAGCGAACUGCUCAGUAACACGUGGACAAUCUGCCCUUGGGUUCGGGAUAACUCCGGGAAACUGGAGAUAAUACCGAAUAAGCCAUUGAAGCUGGAAUGCUCUUUGGUUCAAAGUUCCGGCGCCCAAGGAUGAGUCUGCGGCCUAUCAGGUUGUAGUGGGUGUAACGUACCUACUAGCCGACGACGGGUACGGGUUGUGAGAGCAAGAGCCCGGAGAUGGAUUCUGAGACAUGAAUCCAGGCCCUACGGGGCGCAGCAGGCGCGAAAACUUUACAAUGCGGGAAACCGCGAUAAGGGGACACCGAGUGCCAGCAUACUAUGUUGGCUGUCCACAUGUGUAAAUAGCAUGUGUUAGCAAGGGCCGGGCAAGACCGGUGCCAGCCGCCGCGGUAACACCGGCGGCCCGAGUGGUAAUCACUAUUAUUGGGUCUAAAGGGUCCGUAGCCGGUUUAAUCAGUCUUCCGGGAAAUCUGACAGCUCAACUGUUAGGCUUCCGGGGGAUACUGUUAGACUUGGGACCGGGAGAGGUAAGAGGUACUACAGGGGUAGGAGUGAAAUCUUGUAAUCCCUGUGGGACCACCAGUGGCGAAGGCGUCUUACCAGAACGGGUCCGACGGUGAGGGACGAAAGCUGGGGGCACGAACCGGAUUAGAUACCCGGGUAGUCCCAGCCGUAAACGAUGCUCGCUAGGUGUCUGGAAUGGUGCGACCGUUUCAGGUGCCGCAGGGAAGCCGUGAAGCGAGCCACCUGGGAAGUACGGCCGCAAGGCUGAAACUUAAAGGAAUUGGCGGGGGAGCACCACAACAGGUGGAGCCUGCGGUUUAAUUGGAUUCAACGCCGGAAAU
rnacentral:rRNA from 1 species